UGCAGAAGGUCAUUAUUUUAUUUAAAUGA
rnacentral:rRNA from 1 species